rnacentral:rRNA from 1 species
GACGAACGCUGGCGGCGUGCCUAACACAUGCAAGUCGAACGGGGUGAUUCCUUCGGGGAUCACUUAGUGGCGAACGGGUGAGUAACGCGUGGGGAACCUGCCUUUCAGUGGGGGACAACAGUUGGAAACGACUGCUAAUACCGCAUAACAUGUACGGAUCGCAUGGUCUGUACAUCAAAGCUUUAUGUGCUGAAAGAUGGCCUCGCGUCUGAUUAGCUAGUUGGUGGGGUAACGGCCCACCAAGGCGACGAUCAGUAGCCGGUCUGAGAGGAUGAACGGCCACAUUGGGACUGAGAUACGGCCCAG